GGUUAAGCGACUAAGCGUACACGGUGGAUGCCCUGGCAGUCAGAGGCGAUGAAGGACGUGCUAAUCUGCGAUAAGCGUCGGUAAGGUGAUAUGAACCGUUAUAACCGGCGAUUUCCGAAUGGGGAAACCCAGUGUGAUUCGUCACACUAUCAUUAACUGAAUCCAUAGGUUAAUGAGGCGAACCGGGGGAACUGAAACAUCUAAGUACCCCGAGGAAAAGAAAUCAACCGAGAUUCCCCCAGUAGCGGCGAGCGAACGGGGAGCAGCCCAGAGCCUGAAUCAGUGUGUGUGUUAGUGGAAGCGUCUGGAAAGGCGCGCGAUACAGGGUGACAGCCCCGUACACAAAAAUGCACAUGCUGUGAGCUCGAUGAGUAGGGCGGGACACGUGGUAUCCUGUCUGAAUAUGGGGGGACCAUCCUCCAAGGCUAAAUACUCCUGACUGACCGAUAGUGAACCAGUACCGUGAGGGAAAGGCGAAAAGAACCCCGGCGAGGGGAGUGAAAAAGAACCUGAAACCGUGUACGUACAAGCAGUGGGAGCACAGAGCAAUCUGUGUGACUGCGUACCUUUUGUAUAAUGGGUCAGCGACUUAUAUUCUGUAGCAAGGUUAACCGAAUAGGGGAGCCGAAGGGAAACCGAGUCUUAACUGGGCGUUAAGUUGCAGGGUAUAGACCCGAAACCCGGUGAUCUAGCCAUGGGCAGGUUGAAGGUUGGGUAACACUAACUGGAGGACCGAACCGACUAAUGUUGAAAAAUUAGCGGAUGACUUGUGGCUGGGGGUGAAAGGCCAAUCAAACCGGGAGAUAGCUGGUUCUCCCCGAAAGCUAUUUAGGUAGCGCCUCGUGAAUUCAUCUCCGGGGGUAGAGCACUGUUUCGGCAAGGGGGUCAUCCCGACUUACCAACCCGAUGCAAACUGCGAAUACCGGAGAAUGUUAUCACGGGAGACACACGGCGGGUGCUAACGUCCGUCGUGAAGAGGGAAACAACCCAGACCGCCAGCUAAGGUCCCAAAGUCAUGGUUAAGUGGGAAACGAUGUGGGAAGGCCCAGACAGCCAGGAUGUUGGCUUAGAAGCAGCCAUCAUUUAAAGAAAGCGUAAUAGCUCACUGGUCGAGUCGGCCUGCGCGGAAGAUGUAACGGGGCUAAACCAUGCACCGAAGCUGCGGCAGCGACGCUUAUGCGUUGUUGGGUAGGGGAGCGUUCUGUAAGCCUGCGAAGGUGUGCUGUGAGGCAUGCUGGAGGUAUCAGAAGUGCGAAUGCUGACAUAAGUAACGAUAAAGCGGGUGAAAAGCCCGCUCGCCGGAAGACCAAGGGUUCCUGUCCAACGUUAAUCGGGGCAGGGUGAGUCGACCCCUAAGGCGAGGCCGAAAGGCGUAGUCGAUGGGAAACAGGUUAAUAUUCCUGUACUUGGUGUUACUGCGAAGGGGGGACGGAGAAGGCUAUGUUGGCCGGGCGACGGUUGUCCCGGUUUAAGCGUGUAGGCUGGUUUUCCAGGCAAAUCCGGAAAAUCAAGGCUGAGGCGUGAUGACGAGGCACUACGGUGCUGAAGCAACAAAUGCCCUGCUUCCAGGAAAAGCCUCUAAGCAUCAGGUAACAUCAAAUCGUACCCCAAACCGACACAGGUGGUCAGGUAGAGAAUACCAAGGCGCUUGAGAGAACUCGGGUGAAGGAACUAGGCAAAAUGGUGCCGUAACUUCGGGAGAAGGCACGCUGAUAUGUAGGUGAAGUCCCUCGCGGAUGGAGCUGAAAUCAGUCGAAGAUACCAGCUGGCUGCAACUGUUUAUUAAAAACACAGCACUGUGCAAACACGAAAGUGGACGUAUACGGUGUGACGCCUGCCCGGUGCCGGAAGGUUAAUUGAUGGGGUUAGCGCAAGCGAAGCUCUUGAUCGAAGCCCCGGUAAACGGCGGCCGUAACUAUAACGGUCCUAAGGUAGCGAAAUUCCUUGUCGGGUAAGUUCCGACCUGCACGAAUGGCGUAAUGAUGGCCAGGCUGUCUCCACCCGAGACUCAGUGAAAUUGAACUCGCUGUGAAGAUGCAGUGUACCCGCGGCAAGACGGAAAGACCCCGUGAACCUUUACUAUAGCUUGACACUGAACAUUGAGCCUUGAUGUGUAGGAUAGGUGGGAGGCUUGGAAGUGUGGACGCCAGUCUGCAUGGAGCCGACCUUGAAAUACCACCCUUUAAUGUUUGAUGUUCUAACGUUGACCCGUAAUCCGGGUUGCGGACAGUGUCUGGUGGGUAGUUUGACUGGGGCGGUCUCCUCCUAAAGAGUAACGGAGGAGCACGAAGGUUGGCUAAUCCUGGUCGGACAUCAGGAGGUUAGUGCAAUGGCAUAAGCCAGCUUGACUGCGAGCGUGACGGCGCGAGCAGGUGCGAAAGCAGGUCAUAGUGAUCCGGUGGUUCUGAAUGGAAGGGCCAUCGCUCAACGGAUAAAAGGUACUCCGGGGAUAACAGGCUGAUACCGCCCAAGAGUUCAUAUCGACGGCGGUGUUUGGCACCUCGAUGUCGGCUCAUCACAUCCUGGGGCUGAAGUAGGUCCCAAGGGUAUGGCUGUUCGCCAUUUAAAGUGGUACGCGAGCUGGGUUUAGAACGUCGUGAGACAGUUCGGUCCCUAUCUGCCGUGGGCGCUGGAGAACUGAGGGGGGCUGCUCCUAGUACGAGAGGACCGGAGUGGACGCAUCACUGGUGUUCGGGUUGUCAUGCCAAUGGCACUGCCCGGUAGCUAAAUGCGGAAGAGAUAAGUGCUGAAAGCAUCUAAGCACGAAACUUGCCCCGAGAUGAGUUCUCCCUGACUCCUUGAGAGUCCUGAAGGAACGUUGAAGACGACGACGUUGAUAGGCCGGGUGUGUAAGCGCAGCGAUGCGUUGAGCUAACCGGUACUAAUGAACCGUGAGGCUUAACCUU
rnacentral:rRNA from 1 species